rnacentral:rRNA from 1 species
GGCGCCGAGGAAGCUGGGAGGCUGCCCUGCACCCAGAAAAGUAGAGCGGAUGAAGGGAGCUUGCUUCUGGAUUCAGCGGCGGUACGGGUGAGUAAUGCCUAGGAAUCUGCCUGGUAGUGGGGGAUAACGUCCGGAAACGGGCGCUAAUACCGCAUACGUCCUGAGGGAGAAAGUGGGGGAUCUUCGGACCUCACGCUAUCAGAUGAGCCUAGGUCGGAUUAGCUAGUUGGUGGGGUAAAGGCCUACCAAGGCGACGAUCCGUAACUGGUCUGAGAGGAUGAUCAGUCACACUGGAACUGAGACACGGUCCAGACUCCUACGGGAGGCAGCAGUGGGGAAUAUUGGACAAUGGGCGAAAGCCUGAUCCAGCCAUGCCGCGUGUGUGAAGAAGGUCUUCGGAUUGUAAAGCACUUUAAGUUGGGAGGAAGGGCAGUAAGUUAAUACCUUGCUGUUUUGACGUUACCAACAGAAUAAGCACCGGCUAACUUCGUGCCAGCAGCCGCGGUAAUACGAAGGGUGCAAGCGUUAAUCGGAAUUACUGGGCGUAAAGCGCGCGUAGGUGGUUCAGCAAGUUGGAUGUGAAAUCCCCGGGCUCAACCUGGGAACUGCAUCCAAAACUACUGAGCUAGAGUACGGUAGAGGGUGGUGGAAUUUCCUGUGUAGCGGUGAAAUGCGUAGAUAUAGGAAGGAACACCAGUGGCGAAGAGCGACCACCUGGGACUGAUACUGAACACUGAGGUGCGAAGCGUGGGGAGCAAACAGGAUUUAGAUCCCCUGGGAGUCCACGCCCGU